UGGGGAAUUGUUCGCAAUGGGCGCAAGCCUGACGACGCAACGCCGCGUGGAGGAUGAAGAUCUUCGGGUCGUAAACUCCUGUCGAGCGGGACGAAUGCUCUGCGGAUGAAUAAGCCGCAGGGGUGACGGUACCGCUAAAGGAAGCCCCGGCUAACUCCGUGCCAGCAGCCGCGGUAAUACGGGGGGGGCAAGCGUUGUUCGGAAUUACUGGGCGUAAAGGGCUCGUAGGUGGCCAAUUAAGUCAGACGUGAAAUCCCCAGGCUCAACUUGGGAACUGCGUCUGAUACUGGUUGGCUUGAAUUCGGGAGAGGGAUGCAGAAUUCCAGGUGUAGCGGUGAAAUGCGUAGAUAUCUGGAGGAAUACCGGUGGCGAAGGCGGCAUCCUGGACCGAGAUUGACACUGAGGAGCGAAAGCCAGGGGAGCAAACGGG
rnacentral:rRNA from 1 species